AAGGAGUCUACCAUAUCUGCGAGUAUUUGGGUGUCAAACCCGAGUGCGCAAUGAAAGUGAACGUAGGAGCCACGCGCAAGCUGCCGCUUCGACCGAUCUGGAUCUUUAGUGAUGGAUUUGAGUAAGAGCAUAUAUGGUGGGACCCGAAAGAUGGUGAACUAUGCCUGAAUAGGGCGAAGCCAGAGGAAACUCUGGUGGAGGCUCGUAGCGGUUCUGACGUGCAAAUCGAUCGUCAAAUAUGGGGAUAGGGGCGAAAGACUAAUCGAACCAUCUAGUAGCUGGUUUCUGC
rnacentral:misc_RNA from 1 species